UUACGGGAGGCAGCAGUGGGGAAUUUUGGACAAUGGGCGCAAGCCUGAUCCAGCCAUUCCGCGUGAGUGAAGAAGGCCUUCGGGUUGUAAAGCUCUUUCGCAAGGGAAGAAAACUUAGGCUCUAACAUAGCCUGAGGUUGACGGUACCUUGAUAAGAAGCACCGGCUAACUACGUGCCAGCAGCCGCGGUAAUA
rnacentral:rRNA from 1 species